GCGUUAGCCCUUCGUCGGAGCCAAUAGGGGAAUUGUGGGUUGUGUGUGCUUUUAAAGGCAAAUGUUGGGUGGACUGCUCUUAAACUGGACACUGACAAGCUGCUAGGAUCAUUGUCAUCUGUGAUUAACUCUGCCUUUUUCAGUUUCUAGAUGGUUGUUCUCGUAGGCAUUUUUGAAGACUUUGUAUCGACUAAUUUGUUUCUCUGAAUUAGUCCAUCUCUCACUCUCAUAUAACUGAGUUACAAAGCACUCCGGGUUACAAAUCCUGGAACGAGAAAAAAAAAAAGACGCAGAAAAUGUCGAAAGAGACAUAGAAGAAGAUGUUCGAGAAGAAGAAGGAAAAGACCAGAUUUUAGUCGUGUGAAGCUGGUGCUCAAAGUUACGAAAACACCAGCAGAAAAACGUGAAAAUAUAACUGAGAGUGUGGGAGAGGAUCUCAGUAAUGAUGUAUCUCCUAUCAUGACGUCAGUGGCAGCGCCUGUUACCGUAUGUAGCACAGGAUUGCUACUCCUAAAUGCGCUAACACUUUAUGUUUGACUGCCUGGAUGUGACCUGAUUAGAAACGUCAUUUCAGAGCGCUUAAAAGUCUGGGAACUCUUCUGAUGAGUUAUGGAGGCCAAAAGGAUUAGGACGACAAAUAACCUGCCUCAAAUCUGGGCCGUGACAGAGUAUUGUAGGAAAAAAUAUAAUACAAGGCUCAGUGGAACAGCUGCCAGUGGACAACCUCAUAUUUACGUACAAAUUAACAUAAUAUUGUGAACAGCAGAGUGAGAAAUGUGAUAGAGAAAGUAGAAAUGACCAGGAUAAUACAAAUAACUAUAAUAAUACAGUUUCAACUGUUCAACGUGCCACAUUCUGACCUCUUCUUUGUUUUUACUUUGUAGACGAAGGCACAGGUUAAUUUGCUCAAUCUUGCGCUCAGUCAUAACGUCACCAUUAUUGAAUGACGUUUGAAUUUCACAGAAUAUAAGUAUUUUUUGCGUCAACUACCUCUUCCUUCAAGGACUACCUCUUUUGUAAAAGUUACAUGGUUUCUUAAAGUUCACGAAACCCUGAUCCUUAAAAGACUGGGUUGUGACGAAGACGAACCCUCGCCGUCCAUAACCCUCUCUGCACCCGUUCCGUGGGAUAAAAAAACAGAGUUGUAAAAAGAAAAGCCUUCGAUGGAAUGUGUGUCUACUGCUAGAGUUUCCAAAUAGGCUUUCAAAUAUAUUGCUACAAAGUUUCUUUCACUGCCCUCUUCUUAUCGCGAGAGCGAUGAAAUCGAUCGAUUUGCUUUUCUGAGACAGUUUAUUUUAAGUGAAAUUGUUACUCCCUUGAACCAAACAAGUAAUCAAACUGGCGCGCUUUUGUUUUUGCCUUUGGCACAAAUAAUGGCGCUUUCAACAGGUAUAUGGACAAACACAAUGACAAAUCGUAAUUGCGGUCACGAGUCCCUCUUCACGUGUACAGGGUGUAUGUGUAUUAAGUACAUCAAAGAAAGUCGUUUGUCAAACUUUCUAUCAUAGCUAGAUAUUUAUACAUAUAUUUUUAAUAAAAUUGUUAUUAUAGCA